CCCCUCUCCCCACCCUUUUUCCUUUCGAUCUCCUGUCGAUCUCCACCUCGCGCUUCGAUCCGAGGGCCACUACCUUCGAUUCCUCCGCCUUGAUCCGGCGAUCUCCGCCGCCGCUUCUGCCGCCGUCGCCGCCGCCGCCGCCGCCGCUGCUGCGGGCGACGGCGAUCUCGCCCUCGGAAGCUCUGAUUCGGACGAAUCCCUUGUGUAUUCUUCGAAUCGUUUCGAUCUGGGAAGUUGUAGACCGUUUUUGUCUUUAGAUUUUAUCUAAUCG
rnacentral:lncRNA from 1 species